CAACCACUCAGGCCCCUAACGGCCUGGCGUUGGGGCAUCUACGGUUGACCGUAGGCCCUAGAAGACAGUGGCGGUAUCCGCUAGCACUCCGGGCGCAGUAUAUCUCCUUCUCGCCUAGGACGUCUUGCCGGCCGCCGGCCGUAAAACAGCUUAAAAUUUACAA
rnacentral:misc_RNA from 1 species